rnacentral:lncRNA from 1 species
AUGAUCUCGGGUCGCACUUCAGAUGCGCAUGGAGUGUCUGACUGUCGAGGCAGCCACCUGUGGCUUCCAGCUUCAUUUGAGAUCAUUCAGUAUCCAUCUCAAGCACUGGAUAGUAGGCAUGUUUGUCCACUUCAACCGCAGAGGCGCCCUGCUCGAAUUUCAUCUCUUGGGCUCAUAGAUAUCAAGAUGCCUGAAAUUUCAAACAUGCACCCCAUUCUGAAUUAACGCUGAUUCCUUUCUAACAUAUUAACUUGAAUUAACUAAUGCCAGGAAGCAUCAGGAGUUACCUUCCUCUGCUUGUCUUCUUGCAAGCUACUCCCUCUGUAAACACUCUUAUAUUUCUUUACGGAGGGAGUAGUAACCUGCAGCAAAUUUUGGACCAAUGACAGUGCACC